AUGAGUUUCCUAUGUUGGAACUGUCGAGGACUAGGGACGGACGCGACAGUUGGUGAGCUGAAAUGGCUCAUAAGCAAAUUUUGUCCCUCCCUCAUCUUCCUGUCCGAGACGAAGAUGAGGGAUUCAAGAGCUCGAAAGUUUAUGUGGUCUUUGGGAUUUAGUGGUUCUUUUGCGAUGAGUAGCGAUGGCCUGAGUGGAGGGAUGGCUCUAUUUUGGUCUUCGUCCAUAUCAGUCUCAUUACAAGCCUUCUCAAAUCAGAUUUUUGACAUUUUUGUCCAAACAGAAGAGGGUGCAGAGUGGCGUACAACAUUUAUUUAUGGGGAACCAAAAAGGGUAUUAAGGCACCAAUUAUGGGAUAGGCUCAGGUUCCUGAAUGCUCAAUGGAAAGGCCCAUGGAUUUGCGCAGGUGACUUCAAUGAAACGCUGCAUGGUGACGAGCACAGGGGCGUGAGGGAUAGGGACGACAAUCAAAUGAUGCUGUUCCGAGAUUGCCUAGAUGAUUGUGGGCUAAUAGAUUUGGGGUAUAUUAGUCCCAAAUAUACAUGGUCCAACAGACAAGAGGAUGGUCGAAACGUCAGGGUAAGACUUGACAGUGCAGUUGCAAAUGGCGAUUUUCUACAACUUUUCAAGGACUGCACUGUUGAGAACAUUAUAACAACAUCAUCUGAUCAUUUUGCUAUAUUAGUGACGAUAGAGAAGAAAGGAAGACAAGGUGCUAUCAAUCACGUACUUCGAUCCUUUCAAUUCAAAGCUGCAUGGACGAGAGCACCUGAUUAUGGCCAAAUGAUCAAAGAAAAUUGGGAAAAACUUAAGGAGGACCCCCCUUCGCUGAAUAAUACUUGA
rnacentral:rRNA from 1 species